UGGAAGGAACCUUCAAAAGUAAUCUAGCCCCAAACCUUCUGCAGUGAGCAGGGACACCUUCCACUAGACUGGGCUUCUCCAAAGAAUCCUGGGCUGGAAUGUGUCUGGCAAAGUUUAUUCUGCCAGCAUAGAGAGUCGAGACAUUUGGAAAAGUGAAUCCUAAUUUCAGAGAUGCAACCUGUUCCAAUUACCUCCUAAAUAAUGAAUAAUGAAUGGCAGCAUAUGACAAACCUGUCCUGUUUGUAAAAAUAAAGGAAAGGCAAUAACAAAACCACCAAAGCAAAGCCCAGGCAACCAUGGAGAGCUCUCCCAUGUGCAGGAAGGGGGAGGAAAAAGUUCAAUUGCAGAACAGAUUAACUGCACCCACUUUUCCCAGUCUUUGUGUUGCAUUAUUGGCUGCAAGGCAAAAACUGUGGCUCUCUGUUCCUGUGGAGCUCAUGACCCAUUGUGUGGCCUCAUGACCCAUUUCAGAGUUCGAACAUUUGCAGCAGCCUGACAACACUGACCACCUUCAUCCUCCUCAGAAAUUGCAUUUAUCCCAACACAGUCAGCACGGAUGUCUUUGUGGACAUAAAGAAGAGCAAUGUGAUUGAGGAGAGCUCAUCCCAGGACACAUUUAUGGCAGGAUUUCAGUCCUAUCGUGGCAGUGAAAGAUCACUGAGCUGUUGCAGAUGAGGCAGGAAUUCCUAGUGUGAGGCACGGCCAUUUGAGGUGUUCUUUGAAAAACAUCCAGGCUCUGGAUGCAUUCAGCAGAACCUGACCUGUGGCACAGGAGGAGAUUGGUUUGCAUUUCUAAUUAGUUCCUGCAUAUCCUGAAGCAGCUGGGCUUCCCAGAGCAAUGUAUAGGCUUUGCAGGAUAUCACCAAGUUGGAGUUGUCUCUAUGGGUAUGUAAAGAUUAAAUGCACAGAAAAGUGCUGUGUGAUCAAGUUAGCUCAGCAAACACAGCUAGAUACUUUGGGAUGUAAAUUAAUCUCAACUUUCAGAGAGAAUAAUAUGGCCCCUCAAAAUUCACUGAAUUAAUUAUCUGACAAAUCUUUAACUAAACACACAGAAUGUACUAUGCAGAUCAGAGAUCCCCCUUUCUCCUUGAUUACAGCUCAGAGUGGGAAUGCAAUGUCUGUGAUUCUUCUGCAGUCAUUCUCUGGGACUCUGAGCUGGUAAUUUUUUUUUGGUAGCACUUAGCAAUUGAUGGCACUGGUGGUGUGGAAGUCUCACUGCUCAUGGUGUGUUUUUAUUCUGUGUGUGCUUGGGAUCUUUUCCUGGUGCCCUGCAGCUCCCAUGCUCUCCUGCAGCAGAAUUGCCCAAAUUUGCCCUGCCAGAUCUGCUUGAUGUGGAAUGUGGAGCUCUGGAGCAGCAGGAUCACCUGAGAAUAGACCCAAGCACCAACAAAAUUUUCUGUUUACCCUGGAUGUCUUGAAAUACCACGGCUCUCAGGAAUUACUUUGUUGUUUUAUUUAAAGGAACUCUGAGCUGGACCGCUUUCAGAUUUCUUUGUAUUAUUCUGUCUGAUACAAAGAUUUUCUACAUGGCUCCAUUCCAAUCUCCAGUACCUGUCUGACAAACUGGUUUGAAGAUCUACUGUUGGUGAGAAAAGUCACAAACCAAAAAAAGAACAGUGAGAGAUCAGUAGUAAAGUGUGGAAAGCUGUGUCUUUUGAGGAAGAAACCACAUUUUUCUCUGUUCUGUGAUACAGCAGCAAAUUGUGCUCAGCAGUGUUGAAGUCCAGAAGAAGAGGAAAGGACAGCUCUUUUCUUCAUUAUCACAAAGAAUAUUUCCUUUUCAAAUCCAUAUCCUGGUCUAAAUCCAGAUUGUGCCUAAACCAGAAGGUUACCGAUUAGAUGUAUUUGUCAGUAUUUUCUGCGGGUUUCCUUCAGGAAAGAGAUUUUGGAUAUGGAGGCAGUGUUUGGCUGGAACUGCUGCAUCCAGGCCAGGCUUUCAGAUCCAGCCAGAGCAGCUGUAUUUAGAAGAUGAAAGGAAGAAACCUUCUGCCAAUGCAGAUCUGGCACUUACCAUUUGUCAUUUUUUACAAGCAAGAGAGACUUUCACAAGCCUAAUAGUGGGACUCCAUUAAAAAAACCUGAAACUUCUUGCUGAGUGAAUGUACCAGUUUUUUGAAUGCAGGGAUUCAUCUUGACCUACUGAAUUUAUUAAUUUUGCUGACCAUUACUUUUUUCUUCUCUUUAAUUUUGAAUUUUCUGUUUUGGGAAUAUUUAGCUACUGCUUUUAAUAAGAAUACAAUUUUAAUGACAUUUAUUUCAGCAGUUGUAUUUAUUUCUGUUUGAAGAUAUCUGGUUUUAUUAAAAAUGAACUUUGGGUAUAUGCUGCAUACUUUAAGGAAAAAAAGGUAUACAUAUAAAGUUGCUUGGAAAAUUAUUGAUUGAUCAGAAAAAUAAUUGAUAUUUUAACAUUGUGGAGAAAUUUCAUGGUGUUGGUUUCCAGGUUUAUAUUUUUUAAAAACUUUAAAGGAAUUGUCUUUCUAACCUUCAGCUAGAUCCUGUUCACUUUAGAGGUUGCUAACAGGGAAACUAAAAUAAUAUAAUGUUAUUGUAGAGAUUAAAAAUCUUAUUUCUUAAAAGAUCAGCUAGUUAAAAGCAUUGUGUCAUUAAUAUCACAGAAAGGUGUCUCCUUAAGAUAUUUGGACGAUAGUAGGAGUAAAAUCAGCUUUGAUUUAGGUUAUUUUAGAUUAAAAAGGCACAAUAUAAUAAAUAAUGAUCAAAUCAACAACUGAAUGUC